GAUUAUUUUUGAUGAAACAAAUGCAGCCUUAAUCUAUAGUAUAGAUAUAUGUUAUAUGAAAUAUUAAAAAGAGAAAAAAAGUAAUAAACUCGAAACAGUACACUAAAAUAGUCCAGAGCUAAUACGUACCAAUAUUAGAACAAAAACAACCUUCGAUCACAAUACAAACCGAGGCUGGUCGGGUCUUCAAGCCACCGAAAGGUUCGGGCCUCGAUACGACUCCGGACCAUGAAGGGAGCUCCAGCGAAAAUACUUCCGAUAAACAGAAAACCUUUACAGAACGCAACUGUAGCAAAUGGGUAAAAGGGGAAAUGGAUGAAAGUGAUUUAAGUAACAAACUAUAUACCUAACAGGCCUAAAACAAUUAAAAUACAUUAAACAAUGCCCUAAACGUGUCUGUCCUCGAGUCAGUUCAUGCAAAUUGAUAUAAAUGGCCAUAUCUUAAUGCUUCUUAUUUUAUAUUGAUUGUAGCUUUAAUGGGGGAAACCGCUGAUACUAGUUGACUUGAAACCAAAGCAAAAAAACCGUUGUCUUCUUCCUGAUCGAUAACAUAAUAACAACCCCAAAUUUUAUAAUUACCUUGGGAGGAGGAAGCUAUGGUAGUGGCUGUAAGGUGGUCGAAAAGGAAGAAAAUGCCUCCCGAAGAAUCACAGUCUCGUGCACUUCCGGUUAGUCCUUCGGUUCAGUUUUCUAGUACUGUGGCAUCAGGUACCGGCCCG
rnacentral:lncRNA from 1 species